UAAUUGUUGAACAUGCAUGGCACUGAAGAUAUUAAUAUGAUAAUAGUAUGUUUUAUUGUUUAUAAAUAUGUAACCCCAGUUUUUAUUUCUAGAUUGUGGUAUGCCUGCUAACUCGCAGAUGAGAUUUCUGCUAAAGUAGACCUGAUUUUAAGGUUUAAUACAUAACCAACUUACUCUUUCUUCACCGAAGGUUUCACUAAUUUCGAAUGUGCUGCAACUAUGCUUAUUUGGGGGCAAGAUACAUUUUGUAUGUGAGGUGUUUAGCAGGUUGUGGUAUGCCUGUUAAGUGCAUAGAUGAGAUUUCUGCUAAAGUAGACAUGAUUUUAAGGUUUAAUACAUAACCAACUUACUCUUUCUUCACCGAAGGUUUCACUAAUUUCAAAUGUGCUGCAACUAUGCUUACUUGGGGACAGGAUACAUUUUGUGUGUGAGGUGUUUAGCAGGUAAUUGGGAUGUGUACUGUAUACAGUAUAUUGUUGAUGCUUGAUUUAUUUGCUUUUGUUAAUCCUCUUUUGAAUAUUUUUUUAUUUUGUUGUGUAAAAAAUAUAGGAAAGUUGGUGUGAUUUAAAUAUAGUUUUUAAAGAAAACGAGUUUCAUUCUUGGUGAUGAAAUAGCAUUGGCUAAAACAGACUUAUGGUUUGUAAUUGUUGAACAUGCAUGGCACUGAAGACAUUACUGAAGAAAGUUUUUCUUUUAUUCUUGUUUUAUGUAAAAAUGCAAUUAUUUUUUCAGGUGUUUCUGUGACUUUUUUUCUUGAAGACAAGUUACUUGCUGAAUAUAGCGUAUGUGUCAAGCAAGUUUACCUCGCACAAGCUUUAGCAAUUUUAAUACAGUACUGUUGUGUAUUUUGGCUUUACUUAGUUAUAUUAGUUUUAUUGGAUAUGUAUGACGUUUGCAUAGUUCAACUGAAUACAGUAUUUGGAUAAAUUUUUUUCAGAUUUUGCGGAAGAAAGUAGUGGAUGGAUGCUGAACACAAUUAAAUGUUGUAUAUGAUGCAGCUGCCUUAAAAGAUGCCCUAUUAUGAGCAGAGAUGGUCUAAUAUAACAGAUUUUGAGGAAGAAAGUAGUGGAAGGAUGCUGAACACAUAAUUAAAUAUACAUGAUGCAGCUGCCUUAAAAGAUGCCCUAUUAUGAGCAGAGAUGGUCUAAUAUAACCGAUUUUGCAGAAGAAAGUAGUGGAAGGAUGCUGAACACAUAAUUAAAUAUACAUGAUGCAGCUGCCUUAAAAGAUGCCCUAUUAUGAGCAGAGAUGGUCUAAUGUAACAGAUUUUGCGGAAGAAAGUAGUGGAUGGAUGCUGAACACAAUUAAAUGUUGUAUAUGAUGCAGCUGCCUUAAAAGAUGCCCUAUUAUGAGCAGAGAUGGUCUAAUAUAACAGAUUUUGAGGAAGAAAGUAGUGGUAGGAUGCUGAACACAUAAUUAAAUAUACAUGAUGCAGCUGCCUUAAAAGAUGCCCUAUUAUGAGCAGAGAUGGUCUAAUAUAACCGAUUUUGAGGAAGAAAGUAGUGGAAGGAUGCUGAACACAAUUAAAUGUUAUAUAUGAUGCAGCACAAUCACUGUCAGAAAGGGUCUGCUACAAGAGAAGGUGAGGAAGAAAGUAAUAGAAGGAUGCUGAACAGAAGAUCAAGUUUUAAGUUACGGAAACAGCCUUAACAACAUCAACCUAGCAAGGUCGACUUGUGAAAGAGACCGAGGGGCACUUGUAAGCCUGGACCUACGGCUUAGAAAACAGUGCGUUAAUGUUCGAAAUAAGGCAAACAGAGUAUUAGGUUUUAUAUCUAGAAGUGUAAGUAAUAAGAGUGCAGAGGUCUUAUUGCAACUAUAUCUUGCAUUAGUCAGGCCGCACCUCGAUUAUGCAGUUCAGUUCUGGUGCCCUUAUUAUAGAAUGGAUAUCAAUUCACUGGAGUCGGUGCAGCGAAGAAUGACGA
rnacentral:lncRNA from 1 species